CAGUAGCCGCGGUAAUACGAGGGGUGCAAGCGUUAUUCGGAUUGAUUGGGUGUAAAGGGUGUGCAGACGGCUUAUUAAGUCACUUGUUAAAUUCUUCGGCCUAACUGAAGGUCUGCAAGUGAUACUGAUGAGCUAGAGGGUGGAAGAGAGAAGUGGAAUUCUUGGAGUAGCGGUAAAAUGCGUAGAUCUCGAGAGGAACACCAAUGGCGAAGGCAGCUUCUUGGUCCAUUCCUGACGUUCAUACACGAAAGCGUGGGGAGCAAACAGGAUUAGAUACCCCAGUAGUCCCUGUCUCUUAUAC
rnacentral:rRNA from 1 species